CCCGAAAUAGCUCAGUUGGGAGAGCGUUGGAGUGAAGAUCUAAAGGUCCCCGGUUCAAUUCCGGGUUUCGGCA
rnacentral:tRNA from 2 species